AUUGGGCGUAAAGAGCUUGUAGGCGGUUUGUCGCGUCUGCUGUGAAAGCCCGGGGCUUAACCCCGGGUUUGCAGUGGGUACGGGCAGACUAGAGUGCAGUAGGGGAGACUGGAAUUCCUGGUGUAGCGGUGAAGUGCGCAGAUAUCAGGAGGAACACCAAUGGCGAAGGCAGGUCUCUGGGCUGUAACUGACGCUGAGAAGCGAAAGCAUGGGGAGCAAACAGGAUUAGAUACCCUGGUAGUCCAUGCCGUAAACGUUGGGCACUAGGUGUGGGGAACAUUCCACGUUUUCCGCGCCGUAGCUAACGCAUUAAGUGCCCCGCCUGGGGAGUACGGCCGCAAGGCUAAAACUCAAAGAAAUUGACGGGGGCCCGCACAAGCGGCGGAGCAUGCGGAUUAAUUCGAUGCAACGCGAAGAACCUUACCAAGGCUUGACAUAUACUAGAUCGCCUCAGAGAUGGGGUUUCCCUUCGGGGCUGGUAUACAGGUGGUGCAUGGUUGUCGUCAGCUCGUGUCGUGAGAUGUUGGGUUAAGUCCCGCAACGAGCGCAACCCUCGUUCUAUGUUGCCAGCACGUAAUGGUGGGGACUCAUAGGAGACUGCCGGGGUUAACUCGGAGGAAGGUGGGGAUGACGUCAAAUCAUCAUGCCCCUUAUGUCUUGGGCUUCACGCAUGCUACAAUGGCCGGUACAAAGGGUUGCGAUACUGUGAGGUUGAGCUAAUCCCAAAAAGCCGGUCUCAGUUCGGAUUGGGGUCUGCAACUCGACCCCAUGAAGUCGGAGUCGCU
rnacentral:rRNA from 1 species